CACCUGAAAAGAGAAGCGGAGGACCACAAGUAGAAUCAAGAACAAGUGAUGGAGGGAGAAGAAGAAGAAGCUAUCAUCUUCCCCAAAGUAGUAGAACAAGAGAGACAGAGAGAGAGAGAAUUGGAGAUAAAGAUGGGGAAAAGCAACGGGAACAAGACAGGCGCCAAUGUCUUUGUUACUAAUUAAUUAUGUAUGUAAUGGUGAGUCUUCCCACUCAGGAAUGUCCACGACAAUACUUCACCUUCCUUAUUCCAAUGUUCUUAUGCUUUAAUCUUCUUUAGAAGAUGCUCGGUCGUUCUCCUCCUUAAUAUGUUUUUUUAUUUAACGAUCCAUGUUUUUUCACCAAC